AGAGUUUGAUCAUGGCUCAGGACGAACGCUGGCGGCGUGCUUAAUACAUGCAAGUCGAGCGUCGAAAGGAGAAGGGGUAACCCUUCUCCCUGAAAGCGGCGAACGGGUGAGUAACACGUGGGUAACGUGCCCCAGACUCUGGGAUAACAACGGGAAACCGUUGCUAAUACCGGAUAACCCCUGCGCUCCGCAUGAAGUGCAGGGCAAAGUUCCGGCGGUCUGGGAUCGGCCCGCGGCCUAUCAGCUUGUUGGUGGGGUAACGGCCUACCAAGGCGGUGACGGGUAGCUGGCGUGAGAGCGUGGCCAGCCACACUGGGACUGAGACACGGCCCAGACUCCUACGGGAGGCAGCAGUAGGGAAUCUUGCGCAAUGGGCGAAAGCCUGACGCAGCGACGCCGCGUGAGGGAUGAAUGCCUUCGGGUUGUAAACCUCUUUCAGCAGGGACGAAGCCUCACGGUGACGGUACCUGCAGAAGAAGCCCCGGCCAACUACGUGCCAGCAGCCGCGGUAAUACGUAGGGGGCAAGCGUUGUCCGGAUUUAUUGGGCGUAAAGAGCUCGUAGGUGGCUAUUCGCGUCGGGUGUUAAAGCUCAGGGCUCAACUCUGAGAGGCCAUUCGAUACGGGAUAGCUAGAGGCAGGUAGGGGAGAUCGGAAUUCCUGGUGUAGCGGUGAAAUGCGCAGAUAUCAGGAGGAACACCGGUGGCGAAGGCGGAUCUCUGGGCCUUGCCUGACACUGAGGAGCGAAAGCUGGGGGAGCGAACAGGAUUAGAUACCCUGGUAGUCC
rnacentral:rRNA from 1 species